AAGGAUUUAAGUUAAUCAAACUAAUGACCUUCAAAGUCAUAAAUAGGAAAGCCUCGGCCUAGUCCUUG
rnacentral:tRNA from 1 species